CCACGCAGACAUCAGCGCUUGCAGAGUUGAAUUUGUUAGGAGUAAAGAUUUAGUACUCCUAAGAGGAUUGUAUUUCAAGAUAAUGGAUAACAGACUGGAAGGAUCCCCACCCCCUACGAGGGAUGGGCGAGGCAACACUCGGAGGGUCAUCGGCAUCAGGAGAAUAAACUACUCGGGGACAGGUCUGCCCCCAGUGGAGACACCCAGCUCCCCAGAGGACACCC